GUAUGUGUUUAUUGACGCACCGGAAAGACCCUUCCCAAGCCUUGCCAUAUACUAGAAAGUCUAAGAAUUAGCCCCUCUUCGAAGCUGGUAUACAGGUGAUGCAUGGUUGUCGUCAGCUCGUGUCGUGAGAUGUUGGGUUAAGUCCCCGCAACGAGCGCAACCCUCGUGAUUAGUUGCCACGAAGUGGAACUCUAAUCAGACUGCCGUAGUUAAUACGGAGGAAGGUGAGGAUGACGUCAAAUCAUCACGUCCCUUACGUCUUGGGCUACACACGUACUACAAUGGGUGUUACAGAGAGAAGCGAAUUCGCGAGGAGGAGCAAAUCUGAAAAAAGCAUCCCUAGUUCGGAUUGUAGGCUGCAACCCGCCUACAUGAAGCUGGAAUUGCUAGUAAUCACAGGUCAGCAUACUGUGGUGAAUACGUUCCCGGGCCUUGUACACACCGCCCGUCACACCAUGAGAGUUGAGAAUACCCGAAGUCCAUGUCAAAGUGGCCGAAGGUAGGCUUGAUGAUUGGGGUGAAGUCGUAACAAGGUAAC
rnacentral:rRNA from 1 species